AUGGAGAGACUUGUUAAUGUUCAUUACAUUGACAAGGAGGCAUUCUUGAGUAACAAUGCCGACACGGGUGAGGAACCAUUGGUUUUUGAUACAAGCCCUAGCUAUGAGGAUGUUGUUGCAAAAGUGAGACAAGUCUUGAAGUGGAUGGACACCAAUGUUGAUGUUAAGUUAAUAGGAAGGUAUGAAUUUGGAGUUGGAUCCAAAUCUCGCUUGAAAAGUAUGCCUAUCACCUCGGAUUUGCAUUGGGAUGUAUACAAGGAAAAAGUAUCCCAAUCGGAAGACAAGUCACUUGAAUUGUUUGCCACCAAGGUUGAAUCUCCUCGGUUUACCUUUGAUUUGAACCGGCAUGUCUCUUCCCCAAUGGAUGACAUGAGCGUUGAGUUGUAUGCCCCCAAUGCUUCUAGCCAACCACCAACUGGCCAAGCAAAUGAAGUUGAGGUGAUUGCUAGUGACGGAGUAAUUUAA
rnacentral:rRNA from 1 species